UCUCAGAGUCUCAGCAAGGUCACUCUUUUCCAUAUGUAAUAAUGAGCCAUUGUUCUAUUCAUCAUGACCUCAUAGAGCCUUUUCUUUUUCUCAGGUCUCAUUUACUUCCUCUUUUUUUUUUCCUUUUCCUUUUCCUAUACCUUCCUUUGGUCCUUAUAAGUAUCCAAAUUGCCCUAAAAUAACUUCUGCACAUGCAGCAUUAGGAAGCAGUGUUUCCCAACCACUACAUUUGAAUGAAAUGAGGUCUUGCUAUGUUACCCAGGCCAGUCUUGAAUUCCUGGGCUCAAGUGAUCCUUCUUCCUCCGCCUCCUAAAGUGCUGCAAUUACAGGCAUGAGCCUUCAUACACAACCAAAUGGUGCCCUUAUGAGAGAAAAAUGUCAUGCAAAGACAUGGACACAGAGAGGAGUCCGUUCUGUGAGUGGAAGCCAAGAUUGGAGCAAUGCAGCCACAAGCCAAGGACUGAUUGCCACCUCCAGAAACUAGAAAAAGUCAAAGAAGGAUUCUAUCUAGAAUCUCCAGGAAAUCAUCACCUUGUUGCUAACUCUAUUUUGGAUUUCUAGUUCCCAGAACUAUUCAUUCCUCUGAGGACCCUCAAGUACUUCAGAAGAACUAAAAAAUGAAUAUCACGUUACACCAAAGAAGAAAUGAAAGCUGCCAGUGUCUUCUGAAGUUAAACAGGCUCCUGUUCUUUGACCCAGCAAUCCAAUCCUAGGUACUUACCCAAGAGAAACAAAAACAUGUAUUUACAAAAAGACUUGUAUAAAAUGUUCAAAGCAGCCUUAUUCAUAAUAGCCAAAAUCUGAAACAACCCAAACGUCCAUCAAUAGGAUAAUGAAUAAGCAAACUGAAAUAUAACCAUAUAAUGAAAUAGCACUCCAUCAAUAAAAAGGAAUGAACUUCUGAUACACAGAACAAUGUGAAUAAAUUUUAGGGACAUUAUGUUGAAUAAAAGAAAAGAUACAAAAGAACUUAUGUAAUUUUGUUUAUAUGAAGUCCAAGAACAGGUAAAAAGUAAUCUAUGAUGAGGGAAAGCAGAAGAAUGAUUGACUUAGGGCACAAGAAGAAUGUUGACUGGAAAGGGGCAGGAGGG
rnacentral:lncRNA from 1 species